rnacentral:rRNA from 1 species
GAGAAAGCUUGCUUUCUUGCUGACGAGCGGCGGACGGGUGAGUAAUGUAUGGGGAUCUGCCCGAUAGAGGGGGAUAACUACUGGAAACGGUGGCUAAUACCGCAUAAUGUCUACGGACCAAAGCAGGGGCUCUUCGGACCUUGCACUAUCGGAUGAACCCAUAUGGGAUUAGCUAGUAGGUGGGGUAAAGGCUCACCUAGGCGACGAUCUCUAGCUGGUCUGAGAGGAUGAUCAGCCACACUGGGACUGAGACACGGCCCAGACUCCUACGGGAGGCGGCAGUGGGGAAUAUUGCACAAUGGGCGCAAGCCUGAUGCAGCCAUGCCGCGUGUAUGAAGAAGGCCUUAGGGUUGUAAAGUACUUUCAGCGGGGAGGAAGGUGAUAAGGUUAAUACCCUUGUCAAUUGACGUACCCGCAGAAGAGCUCCGCA